UACGGAGGGUGCAAGCGUUAUCCGGAUUCACUGGGUUUAAAGGGUGCGUAGGUGGGCAGGUAAGUCAGUGGUGAAAUCUCCGGGCUUAACUCGGAAACUGCCGUUGAUACUAUCUGUCUUGAAUAUCGUGGAGGUUAGCGGAAUAUGUCAUGUAGCGGUGAAAUGCUUAGAUAUGACAUAGAACACCCAUUGCGAAGGCAGCUUACUACAUGUUAAUUGACGCUGAGGCACGAAAGCGUGGGGAGCAAACAGG
rnacentral:rRNA from 1 species